UAGGUCGUAUGAAUAAAACCGAGUACUUGCUCAUACUCAACCCGACUUGAGAAAAGUAAAGUCUCUGAGCAUUUACUCAAAACCGUAUGAAUAAAACGGUACUUUGCUCAGAGUAAGUUCGAAUUUCGAACUUAGCUUUUACUCUGUCAAAAUUUUUGUUUUUGUUUUGGCUAUCCGAUUUUUGCGCAGCAGCCAACAGUUCCUUUGAAGAUCUCAAGCAUAAAUUUUGCUUGAGAAAGAAAUCAACCGCCUGUGCCGGCUUCUGAUGAACUCACACACCCCGGCGAAGCUAUUCAAUCACGUCUGCCGGGAAUAAGUCAGUGAGCGCAAGAAACUGCAACCAUCGUGUGCCGCCUGCAAAGACUGCAUUUGAUACAUGAAGGAUGUUGCUGCAGUUUUUCUCAUGUGACGGCUGCCGGUUCGUCCACAAAGAUCUUACCAAUCAAACGGUGACCGUACCCUCCCAGAACAAGCUAAAUUCCACUGAACGAUAACGUCGAGCUUAGUUCCUGUAGGGUCGAUAUGUAACAGCACCAGGAUUAUCGUAAGAAUGAAGUUAAACCGGCAGCAUCUUCAUUAACAACCAACCAGCAUUAGCAGCAUCAGCAACAAAAGGAAAUUGCAUUGAAUCCAACACGUCUGUGUGUUAUAUGUUAAUUCAAGAUGCCACAGGUGACCGGAUUGGCACUAGUGAAUGAGAAACUAUAGGACUAGGGAAGUGCAUCGUAGUUAACGCAGGCAUUGGAAACAAGAUUGAAAUUUAAAGAAAUAAACGUCGUUACGAAAAUUAACCGUAUGUUCGUCAACAUUUUUCACCAGCUGAUAUCUAUUGGUUUUGCCCAAAACCCACCACAGAUUUUGUAAGAAUCUGCCAAAAUCUGCUUCUUCUUUCGUAACACGUAACAUCAUCCUACCAGUAAAGAUGAGUAAGAGCCUACUUUUGGUGAGGACUUUCUUUACCAACUGACCAAUUUAUCAUGUGUAUAUCGUGUGGCUGGUACGAAGAUACUCUAUGCCCUGGAAAGUAAAGAAAAAUGCCAACCCGGUAGGAUUUGAAACCACGACCCUCAUCUUGAAGUUGCUGAAUAGCUGCGAAUUUAAUGCUACGACUAUCUGGCCCUUAUCCGCCAAAAUCCGUAUGGAAUAUCCUUAAAAGACCUGAUCAGAUAAACUGCUAGUUAUCUCAAAAUAAUCUAAUUCAUAAUAUUUUGAAGAAUUCGUCUUAAAACAGAAAGAUCUUCAUAAAAAAUCCAAGAGUAAGUAUUCUCCACAAAUUUCGUCCGAUAUUCAGCAAAUGAUUCUUCAAAUAAUUCAACAAUAUUUUUUUAGAAGGCCUUCCUUAGAAUCCGAACCGCCAGCAGCUUCUAACCUAAGUUGUCUUUCAACAGUUAAACAAUUUAAUUCGUUCGCUUACAAUUCAACUUAUCAUUUUGAAUUACUUGAACAAAUAUGAUGUUUAUUUUACAUCAACGCUGCAGCAGAUGUUGAUAAAUAAAUGUAAAAUUCGCCAAAUUGAAGUUUCGAAGUUUGUUCAAUAAAUUUCAUCACAAAAGCUUCGGCUUAUUCUUUUAGAAUAUUUUCGCUGAAGUUUCAGUUUUGUAAUAUUUUACAAUGUAUUCCUUAAAUCUAACAAAAUUAUGUUAGCACGUCAUUUUUACGAGAGUUGUGGAGAAAUGGUAAUUAUUAAAUAAUAAAAAAACGCAAAAUAUGUAUAUUCAUUAUUAUUUUACAAUUUUUUUUGUGACGUUUUUUUAUGUUGAUGCAUGCAAUACUCAAAUCUAUCGAUUUUUUAGUUGUAUAUCAAUCGCUAGCAUCUGUAAUAUGAAAUCCGUCUCUGACAAAGUAAGGGAUCAUUUACAAAUUGGCUAAUUUACUAAAGAUGUUAAUAAAUAAUGAAGGAAUUCUUUGCGGAUUGCUAAUUUGAGCUUGGAUGAAAAACUAAAUGAAAACUUUGGAUUUAUUCCCUAAAAAGUUUCUGAAGGUAAACCCUAAACCAUUUGAAAAAUCAAGAUUUUGUUGAACAUCUAGAGAAAUACUUGGAAGAAUCUCUGAAGGAUUUUUUGUGUUAUUUGUGGUCAGUGUUGUCUCAGCUUCGAUUCCAAACCUUGCGUCAAUUUUAUAUGCCGAGUUUAUCGAAAUCCAAAUUGGUAUUUCAAGACAUAUAUCAUCAGGUUCUCGAAUUUUCUUUCGAGCUCGUUCGUACACCGGCUUGCAGAAUUUGAAAAUUAUUUACCACAAUUCAAAUUGGGAGAAAGCUUGUAUUUCGCCAAUCAUGACUAUUUAAGUUCCUAAAGUGCAGUCCAUUAAACACGUAAGGGUUGGUUUUAUGAGAGGAGGGGGGUUUGGGAGUUAUUACGCGUCAUACAAAUUGUUUUUAACUUUCAUACAAAUAUAUUACGAUGGGGAGAGAACCCUCCAAAAUUGUCUUACGUAGUGAAUAUUGGUCAACAGCCAAAAACAUCACGCGAUUCACAUUGCUGUAGGUGCGCAGUUGUCUGUCGUAGUGCCUGGCCUUAUAAAAUCCGACUAACUGAAUUCUGCCAACGUCCGCAACGAUCGAAAACCAUAAAUUCAUAAUGAUGCUGAUUACAUGCAUCUUAUUGCAAUUUUCAAUUCAAUUUUCAUACUAAACUUUUGAACUGAGCAUGGUCAGUAGGUGACUCAGAAUUUUCUGAGCAUUUACUCAGCUUUUACCACUUUAUUCAUACGAAUUCGGAUGUUCGAAAAGUAAAUGCUCAAAUGCUCAGUUUUAUCAUACCAACUUGAGUAAAUGCUCAAGAAAAUAAUUUGACAGGUGGAUUUGAGUAAAGUAAAAGCUUUUGCUCAGUUUAUUCAUACGACCUAAUGUGUACUAUAUAUUUAUCACAUGUUUAACAAAUACCUUUAAUUUGUGUAAUGCAUGCAUGUCAUUUGAGUCACAUUUAUAGUAUGUGCAGACUUUGAACUCGUUCGCAUCUCGAACCACACAGUGAAAACAAAGAUGGCUACCGAAAUAAGUUUCCGCGAAAUCAUGCUAUACGAAUUACAGCUGCCUGCCGAAAUUUCGGUUACAUUUGAAGGUGCAAACAUAGAUUUUGAUUGUCUUUCGCGAACUUCAAAAGACGAACUGGAAGACGCAUUGACGGGUGCCGGAUCAGCAGCCAGCGAAAAAAUUGCUUGGAACAUCGAUGAAAUUUUCCGGCGAAUUGUCGAGUGGUGCCAGGAAUCUGUAAGUAACCAGUG
rnacentral:lncRNA from 1 species